rnacentral:lncRNA from 1 species
GGAAGCGGAAGACUAAUGACCGAAGCUUCAAGACUUUGACAUGUGUGAAAACAUGAAAUGACCCUUGGCUCUUAUUGUUCUUGCUGGUGUGGUAUGUUCACGGCUGAAAAGAUGGUCAGAAGGGGAAAGGAGGAAGUGAGAAGAAAGAAACAGGGAAAUGACAGAGUGUUGCUCAGUUACCCAGGCUGGAGUGCAAUGGCAUGAUCUUGGCUCACUGCAGCCUCCACCUCCUGGGUUCAAGCGGUUCUCGUGCCUCAGUCUCCCAAGUAGCUGGGAUUACAGGUAUGCACCACCAUGCCCAGCCAAUUUUGUAUUUUUAGUAGAGGCAGGGUUUCACCAUGUUGGCUAAGCUGGUCUUGAACUCCUGACCUCAGGUGAUCUACCUGCUUCAGCCUCUCAGAGUGCUGGGAUUACAGGCAUGAGCCACCAAGCCCGGCCUGAAAUACAUUUAAAUAAAUGAAGAUGGAGAAUCAGACAUUACUUUCAUUUAUCUGAAUCUGGUGUAGUUUAAUUAAUCUGUAAUUGUAAGUCUUUGAAUCAUAUGUCAAUAUUCUAUUUUGUUAGUCAUGAUUUCUAAGUGUUACAUAACUGUGGCCCCAGCCACUUUAUAUUUUGGUAUCAUGACAGAAGACUCUGAUUGUGGUUAUUUUCUACCUAUGCAUUUAUUCUUAGUGAUAUAUGUUGGUUAAAUUAUGGCAUAGUUUUAAAAUACAUGACAAAAAUAGCUAACAGUAAAGAAAUGUCUUUGUUUCUGGUUGAAUAAACUGACCACGCAAGGUUCCAAUUUAAAAUAAAUUCUAAACGAAUCAUGUUAUUUUCCAAAACUGUUCCUCCUCUCAGUAAAUGAAAUCAAUAUCCACCCGGUUACCCCAAGACAGAAAUCUCAAGAUCAUCUGUGACUCCUUCCUCUUCAUCUGCCACAAGAAGAGUAGCUUCUAUCUCCAAAGCUAGUCUCUGAUCAGUCUACUUCUCUUCCUAUAGCCUCUGCUUUAGUUCAAAUCUAGAAUCCUGCUGUGGUGGUGCUGUGGCUUCCAAGUUCAUCUUCUUCCAAUCCGUUCUCUAAACUACAGUCUUGCUCUUUCUAAGACUCAGAUCUUAUAAUUUUACUUCCCUUCAUAGGUUGAAUUUAACCUGCUAAAUCACAUAAAAUUUUUCUGAAGAUACCAGCCUUUCUGCCUUAAUCAAACACAUUAGCCAAAUCCAUAGCAUUACUGGGAUAAAGCCUGAAGAUCCCAAAUUGAUAAGGCAUCUGGAUUCCCUUUGAUAACAGUAUUCAAUAACAAUGAACACCUACUGAGUAUACUAUUCCAAGCAUUUAAAGUGUAUCAACUCUUUUCACAAAAUCAACAAUAAUUAUUAUUGCUACCAUUUAUUGAGAGUCUACUUUAAUCCAGGUGUUACAUAUUCAUGUAUUCAUUAUUAUUACCUUUUUUUUUGAGACGAAAUCUUGCUCUGUUGCCCAGGCUGGAGUGCGAUGGCAUGAUCUUGGCUCACGGCAAACUCCGCCUCCCUGGUUCAAGUGAUUCUCCUGCCUCAGCCUCCCGAGUAGCCGGGAUUACAGGCAUGUGCCACCAUGCCCCGUUGGCCAGGCUGGUCUCGAACACCUUACCUCAGGUGAUCCUCCCACCUUUGGGAUUACAGGUGAGCCCAGCCUAUUGUUACCUUUAAAACCACCCUGCAGGGUAGCUCUUACUGUCUCCAUGAGGAAUAUCAGAAAAGGGAAAGGACUUCCUGGAGGGCUGGUUCUGCCUCAAGCCAAUCAGCUGACACUAAGCAGUGAAGCCGGAAUCUGAGGUCCCUCUGCCUGCCCUGGUCUUUGCUCACCCUGACAACCAGACACCUCACUGUGUCCUGAGCAGCAUAGAUGCCACACGCACAGUGCCACAUAGAGAAGGGUGAUGUAAAUGAAAAUUAAAACACUGUGACAAAGUCAAGCAGGGCAUUUGUUUUUGUUGUUGUUAAGUUAUUUUUGGUAGAUACAGGGUCUCACUAUGUUGACCAGGCUGGUCUUGAACUCCUGGGCUCAAGCAAUCUGCCUGCCUCAGCCUCUCAGAAUGUUGGGAUUAUAGACAUGAACCACUGCACCCGGCCAGUGUCAGUCUUUGUUCCCUACAAGUGAAAUCAAAACAGCCUCACGCCUGUAAACCCAGCAGUUUAGGAGCCCAAGGUGGAAGGAUCGCUUGAGCCCAGGAGUUUGAAACCAGUCUAGGCAACAUAGUGAGACCCUAUCUAUACAAAAAUAAAAAUAGCCUGGGCAGGGUGACUCAUGCCUAUAAUCCCAGUACUUUGGGAGGCCAAGGUGGGUGCAUCACUUGAGGUCAGGAGUUCGAGACCAGCCUGGCUAACAUGGAGAAACCCUGUCUCUAUUAAAAAUACGCCUGUAGUCCCAGUUACUCGGGACGCUGAGGCAGGACUGCUUGAACCUGGGAGGUAGAGGUUGCAGUGAGCCGAGAUCGCGAUACUGCACUCUAGAGCCUGAGUGACAGAGUGAGACUCCGUCUC